rnacentral:rRNA from 1 species
GACGAACGCUGGCGGCGUGCUUAACACAUGCAAGUCGAACGGAAAGGCCCUGCUUUUGUGGGGUGCUCGAGUGGCGAACGGGUGAGUAACACGUGAGUAACCUGCCCUUGACUUUGGGAUAACUUAAGGAAACUGGGGCUAAUACCGGAUAGGAGCUCCUGCUGCAUGGUGGGGGUUGGAAAGUUUCGGCGGUUGGGGAUGGACUCGCGGCUUAUCAGCUUGUUGGUGGGGUAGUGGCUUACCAAGGGUUUGACGGGUAGCCGGCCUGGGAGGGUGACCGGCCACAAGGGGACUGCGAUACGGCCCAGACUCCUACGGGAGGCAGCAGUGGGGAAUAUUGCACAAUGGGCGGAAGCCGGAUGCAGCAACGCCGCGUGCGUGAUGACGGCCUGCGGGUUGUAAACCGCUGUCGCCUGUGACGAAGCGUGAGUGACGGUAAUGGGUAAAGAAGCACCGGCUAACUACGUG